GGCUACCUUACAGUUUCAGAGGUUCGGUCUAUUAUGAUCAUGAAGCGAGUAUAGAAAGAGGCGGUAUAAGAAAGCCACCCAUGUACACCUCAGCCCAGGCCACUGUGCCUGGUCUGUAUUGUGAAUGGGGAGACAUGG